CGCCCCUAGUGUCCCCAGAGCGCUCCCGCACUCUGGAGUUCCCCCCUCCUGCUACCCGGGCUGGGCAUCCCGGGAGGAGACCCCAGGGAGCAGUGGGGGAUGAGGCUCCAGCCUGCUCACUCCGCCUCAGUGACGAGAGGCAGCGGCGCUCCACGCCUCAGUUAUCUCAGCUGGAAAAUGGGGCCAUGAAAUGCUCUGCUCUCUUCUCUUUUCCUUGCUGUCCCCGGGGCUGGAGGAGCACGGGCCUCCCCAGGAGCGGGCCUCGGCCUCCCUGGACUCUCGUCUCCUUCUGAGGGCUGAGCCUGGGGAACCAGAAGCAAGAGUCCCUAGAGCUUCCAAGAUUUUUGGUUUCAAACUAGUUUCCUGCUGACCAGAAUGAAAUGGAGCCACAUUCCAGCACAAUGCACCUGCUGACCUCGUGCAAAUCAAGGACCUUCUCCGCCCCUCUUUUGCUCCGCUGCAGAAGGGGGAAGCUGGGAAUGUGCUGCUCUGGGGUCCCGCCACCUCCAGCCAGCCACUGUCUCCGUCUUCCCCAAACCUCCUCGUUGUCCCUCCUCUGUCCUCCUCCUCCAUCCUCCCUCGCCCUGCUCUCCUCUUUUUUGCCUGAGGUUCAUGCUGCCUCCUCACCUCUUGUCCAGUUUCUCCCUUCUCUCUGCUCCCUCCUUUUAUCUUGCUAUUUUGCUUCUCUUUCCUUUCCUCUCUUUUCCCCCUUCCCUUCCUCCCUGCUCCCUGCCUCAUCUUCUCAGUCUCUCCGUUCUUCCUCUAGCUUCCUUCCCUCUCCAGAAGACCCAGCCCUUCCUAGAGCCCCAGAAGCCAGGGUUCAUGCCCCAGCUCUCUACCCGCACAUGCUAUGCAACCCUGGGCCAGUCACUCGUCUCUUGGGCCUCAGUUGAAUGGAUGGCUGUCUUGGUGAUGUGAGAUCAUAGGGUGGAAGCACCCAGCAUGGUACCAGGCACUCAAAACUUUUUUUCUUUUCCUUUUUAAGGAA